GAAAAGAGGUAGGGUUGGCUAUUUCAAUUUCAUCUUCAAUUUGACAAAUUUUUUGGUAUGUUUUAUGCUUAAAUUUUUUAGGGUUGUGAUUUGUUGGUUAAAUUUUCAGAUUGAAGGAAGGAAUAUGUUUGCAAGCCGAUAUUUUUGAAUUGGGAGGCUACUUACAUUAAGACAGAUAGCAGUCGAAUUGAGCAACUUUGCAGCCCGUCGAACCACCGAAUUGAGCCACGCAUCGUAGGUUGUAUGACAUCUUUUAUCAGAUUAUACAUUGUGUUCUUUUGGUAUACACGAAGGUUAAAUCAGAAAAGUUCAUUAUGGGCUCAUUAGAUAUUUGGUAUCUUUAGUGUAUUUGAAGAUUGUUGAUUGGAAGGCAAGUAAAUGUUGAUUUGCCAGCAUUUUAUUUGAAUAGUUUGUAUUUUAAAGGACUGUCGUACCCUAUUCAUGUUGUAGGUAUUGAUUUGAGAAAAAAUUGAUUAUUGUUGAGGUGGUUUAGUCCAUAUUUCAGGGAAAACUAUGCCAAAAUUUUGUUAAAAAUAUUUUUCAGUCAAGCAAGUCAAAGUUGCCUUGAUGGUGGGUCCGACAUUUAGCUGGUAUCUACCAUCGACGCACGACACGUGUCGAGUUUAUUAAAGUGAUUUGGGACGGGUUGUGUCAAUUGGUAUCAGAGUAUGGUUCAUUGGUUGUUAAGCUCGAGUAAUUAAUGAGUUUCUUUUUUGGAACAGUAUGUCAUUGAGAUUAUUAGCCGUGGCAUGGUGGCAGAACUCACAGGCUCCAAUGUGGUAUUUGAAACUCAUGUUGCCCUUGAUAACGAAGGUAUGGCAGCUAAGAAACUAGAAGGAUCUUCAUUGAUUUGGGCAUAAUAAAUAUGAGGGUGUUAUUGAGAAUUAUCCGUUGGUAAUGAGAGUUGUUAGAGUUGUCAUGUUGGCGUCAUGCUAUAUUUUCUCUAAUAUAUUAAUAAUUGUGCUAUACUUCCAAUAGGUAGUUAAGCGAAGAGUAUAACUUUUCUUAGUAAGGAGAUUGAUUGGGUUAUGAGUUUCUUGUGUAAUUAUUAGAGGGAAUGUCCUUUAGAUGCCUUGGAUGAUAAGUAUUGUCUAAUAUUGAUAUAUGUAUAAUUAGUGACAUUAAAGGUGAAAUCAUGAUUGCUUUGUAAAUCUAAAAGUUUGUGGUAUUAUGUGAAUUAUUGUGGGAAUUUGUAAUCAUAUUUAGUAUAUGGAAGAAAAUGCAUGUAUUAGAAUAUCAAGAUGAGGAGAUAUAGUAAGAUAUCUUGUUCAUGAUAGAAAUAAUGAAACCAUAUGGAAUGUCGAUUCAUGAUGAAAAUGGUGUUAUUAAAUAUGUUUUACCUAAUGAUUUUGAGUAAAUCAAUGGGACUAUGGUUCCUUCCUUGUUGAUUCAAGAACGAUUAAGUAUCUAGGUCUGUACUUCAACUACUAUAGAAGGAAAUAUUAAGGGUUUAAUUACUCGGUUUGGGUGUAUGAAAAUAAGUUAUGAUGAAUGAAAAAAAAAAGAAGAGAAAAUGAUUCUUACAAUUCAGAAAUGACUAGUAUGUAAGUAUAUUAGAUCUAGGGAUUUAAUGGUUGACAAUGUUAUAAGCUGUUGGGUUGGUACAGAGGUGUAUGUGAUCUAGUACUCAAUAAGAGUGUAACAGCAAACAUAUAUUAGUUUGGAAUUAGAGUUUUAAUAAUUUUGUAGGUUAUCUAUCUAUAUGCAUUCAAAGGAAUGGAGUUGCCUAAAUAUUGAAUUACAUGCGAGAUUAUGUGAUUUUUUUUUAAUGUAGAUAUAGGAAAGUCUCAGUUAUAAUUUGCAUGACAAAUAAAAUGGAAUGAUAUUAUAUAUAAUUGAUGACAAUCAUACGAGGAACCUUAAUGAUUUUGGGAAACUAAAUGAUCAUUAGUAUCAUCGGAGAUUGAGGUAAUUUGUAGCCACUCAUAUUGGAGGAUGAUAGAAAUUAUGGUGGUGUGUAUCUAUAUAUAUGAUAAGAAUCUCGUGGCGGAUUAAUGAUGAUAUUAUACUGAAUAUUGAUCGGUUGAGAAUAAUGUGUUAUUAUGUAUGUUAUUCAUUGAGGAAAUUGACAUUUAUGUGACUCCGAUCAUUUUGGAUAAUUACGGGUUAUUUGAUUAUAAGAGGUGAAACAGAUAUGGAUAGAUUUCACAAGGACUACAUAUUGUGGGGGUAAAUUGUUGUUUAAGAAAGAAAAUAUUGAAUCGGUAUAUCUAUGUUAAUUGUGUAAAAGGUAUGAAAGGAAGGAGUUGAAUAAAUGCACAUGGAUCGUCAUUCUUGAGUUAUAGUAAAGUAAUCAUAUAUUGAGUAAAGAAUGUCAUAGUUGAAAAUUAUGGUGAUUGAAAAAUUUGAUACGAAAUCUAAAUAGUGUAUUAUUGUGUGAAAUGUUGCUUGAUAGUUAUAAAGAGCACUAUUUUUGUGAUCCUAAGGAAAUAGGUGUAAUCAAAUGUUUGAAGUUAUACAAUGUGACCAUAAAUGACAAGGUUACAUGAUAUGAUAAAUAGCAAGUGAAGAAAUGUUAUGGUCGUCCCAUAGCCAAAUAAUGUGAUGAGAUAUUUGAGUUAUUAAUUAACCUUGUCAAGGCCAUUUGUGUAUUAUUAUAUUAUAUUACGUACAAUCUAGAAGCUUCGAGCUAAAUUUGGAAGUUAAGGUGAAUUUAAUGAAAUUUUAGUAAUGUAAAGUUUGGGAGACUUUCAAUUGUAUUUUUAGAUCUCUCGAAUAAAAUAUUCUAUUCUUAUCGAGAUCUAUAGGUUGUGGAACAUAUGGAGGAUGUGUUGGAUAGUUUAAAGUCUAAGAUGAUCAUCAAAUGAAAAUUUUAUUAAAUUGUGGAAUGGUAUCUUUAAGUUAUAAUAUUAAUUGAAGGUCUUUGUGCAAUAUACAAGAAGGCUUAUGCAUUGGUAAUAGGUCAAUGGCCUCUUUAUGGAAUAAGAGAAAAGAAUUAUCAUGGAUUAAAUGUUAUUAUUAUAUUUUCAUAGAAAGAAAGAGCACAAAAAUUGUGUGGGUUUAGAAAUGUCAAAAGCUUUGCUAUCUGAUUACAUUAUGAUGAAAUAUGUACUCUCGUAUCUAAAGUUGAUGAGAACCUGAUUUAUGAUAAUGAAUUAUAUUAAGGUUUUAGAAAGUAUGCUGAAGUAAUGAUGAAUUAUGGAUAUUAUUAUAGAUUGUCAAAGAUUUAUGAUUAAGGCACGUUUUAUUGUUGGUUAUAUUGUGGUUAGAGUUUGAAAUUGUGGUGUUAUAUUCUUGCGAGAAACAUCAAUACUUAUAUAUCACCGUAGUUUAAGGUAUAUGUCAAUUUGAAAGGGUCGAAAUUGAAGUUGUGUAUAUAUUAUCAUUGGUUGAUAUAGAAUUAAAAGAAAAGGAACAUUAUAUUGAGCUAUCUCUAUUGUUGUUGGGAAUGACUAGAAUUUUAGAAAACCAGAAAUAAUUGAAAUUUUUGCAGAUCAUGUUAAUUUAGAAUGAAAGUAGUUACCCUCAAAUAUAUUUUUUUUUAUUUGGGGUUCCAAAUAUACAGAAUGAAGACAAAAUGGUAUUUGAAUCAUUGUUGAUAGAUCGAUAAAAGUUACAAAAAAUUCUUUUCAAAUGAUAUAGUCAGUUCAUGAAAUAGAAUUAUUAAAUUAUAUUUAGAUAAGAUUUCCAUUUAUAUGGAGUUUGAGUAUCUAUUUUUGGCUUAGGGAGCUAUAUAACUAAAUUACAUUGUGUAGCUCCUUAGAAUGUUAGACACUAUGAGGACAAGUUCAGGAGAGAGGCUAUCAACUAUGGUUUGUUAAGUGAAGGGUACUUGAAUAAUUAUCUAUUUUUCAUGGAAUUAACCUAUAAGAACUAGACACAAGUGACGAUAAUUGAGAUUAUAUAUGAUAUUGAAAUAUUCCAAUGACAUAUUUAUUGUGAUGAAAGUGGUGAUCAAAUGUUAUUCGGUUUUAGUAUGUAACAAUUGUUAUAGAAAAAGGGAUAUGACUAGAGAAUAGUUCAAAUCAAAACGUAAGAUGAAGUUUUGGAGAAUAUGAAUAGUAUCCUAAACUUCAAAUUAGGAAAUAGCUGAAUUUUUUUUUUUAGAUCUAGAAAAAUUAAAGUUGAGAGUAUUAUAUAUUGGUCUUUGAGAUGAUAUUUUAAAAUUUGGGUCAAUUGUUUAAUGAUGGAGUUUGCAACAGUUCUGAUAUUUAAGAAUGUAUCAUCUAUUUUCAAGGCUUAGUAGUUAUCAAAUGUAAUUUAUGAGUUAAGAUUAUUAGUGCAGUUAACAAGAGCUCGUCUUAGUACAGUUGAAAAGAUAUCAAUAUAGGAAAGGUCAAGGAAAAUCCAAGGACAAGAAAGAAUGAAUUUUGUGUAGUUAAAUUAACGUGCUAGUUAAAUUGUGCGGCAAUCAGUAGAGAAGACAUCACGGGCAUAUGAAGAUCAAGUAUGCUAUGUGCUCUAUAUCUUGAUAUGUUUGAAUCCAAGUUGGUUGAAUUUUGAGGAAAAAAUUCUUCGAAGGGGGUAAGAUUGUUACAUCACAUUUUAUACUUAGUCAAAGGUCAAUAUCAAUUAGUCCAAGUCCAAGUCAAAUAGGGACUUAAAUUGUAUAAAUAAUUUUAUUGGGACUUAAUUGACCAAAUUAUUUUAUUGGGGUUCAUUUUAUAAAUUGUCAAUACUUUAAGGUUUAAGAUGGAUAAAAAAUAAUUUUUGGAGAUUUACUUAUAUAUUAUUGAAAGUAAAGUGGUUAGAUUUUAUAUUCAAUAGAAGUUAAGGAUUUAAUGUGAUGUUAUAUGGAAGUGGAGGACUUAAAUGCAAAUGAGGGCAUUAGUGGAUUACAAGUGUCAAAUGCUUAACUAAUUUAGCCAUUUUCAAUUGAUAUAUACCUACAAAAAUCUGGAAACGGGGCAGAGAAAGGAAAGAGAGAAAGAAGAAAAUAAAGAAAGAAAAAAGGAAAAGGAAAAAGAAAGGAAAAGAGAUUGAAGGAAGGAAUAUGUUUACAAGCCAAUAUUUUUGAAUUGGGAAGGCUACUUACAUUAAGGUAUGAAAUACCAAUUUUGGACAAAACCUAGAAUUUUUAUUUGGAUUUUUGAAUGAGUAUAGUUAACAGGAAUAAUUGUAGAGAUGAAAUACUCAUUUGAAGGCAUGAAUUUAUGGAGCAAGAUGAAAAUUUAAAUUGGUUAAAUUAUAAUUAUUAGUUAUACUAGUUUGGAAGAAGGUAUUAUUUUUAUGUUUGUAGUGAAGAUUAUUUUAAUGAAGGAUUUUAAUGAAAGGACUAGAAGGUCAAAUUAGUUCCAAUUGUGAAGGAAAUUAAAGAAUAUAUCCAAGUGUCGAGAAGUCGAGUAUUUCGUAGUUAAAGAAGUUAAGGAUACUUGGUAGAGUGGUUAUUAAAUUGGUUAUCUUGUAUCAUAUUUCAGGAGAUGACGAGAAGAUUGAAAUCAUGAUUAGUCCAUAACUUGGUGAAUGGAUAUAAAAACUUAUUUUUAAGAGAUUAGUAUUUAUUAUUAUUUCAUACAAUUGAUUUUGACAGCAUGAUUUUUAGAAUAAAGUGAAUUUAUAAUCAGAUAUUUUUAAAGUUAAAUUCAAUUCAAUUAAAUCAUUUGAUUAGCAUGUUAUUUGAAUAUAACUGUUUCAGUAUAGCUAAAGUUAUUUUUAAAACCACUAGAAAGUACUCAAGUGAUUUUGUCCCAGUUUGCACUGGUGUGAAUGUGUUUCCACGGUGUAUGACUAGUUAUGGUGAUUUCACCCGCUUUGCACUAUUGUGAAUGUGUUUCCAUAGUUUACGACCAGAUUAUCAAAGGUCUUUGGGACCCACUCUCGUACACAUUUAGGCUUUAGGCCGUGUACUAGGGUGAUUAGCCUUUGGGGCAGCUCUGCGUACGUAUGACCAGAUUAUCAUAUUUGAAUGGAUUUGCCUUGUACAUCGAGAUUACUCUAUAUAUGAGUAAGGCUAUUCAUUGGGUACCCUUUUUGGUGUGAUUGUGUGAUUUUUCAGUAUUUCUACAACUUAUCAGAUUUCAAAUUAUAGAAUUCAGUUCUCAGAAUAAAGCUUCCAGCCUAUAGUAUUGAACAUCAAUAUUUCACAGAUUUUCAUGGAUGUCAAAUUAUUUAUAUUCGUUAUACUUUACAGUUAAUGAACUAGUAUAAGGAACAAACAAUUUUAUGAUCCAAUCAUGUUUUAAUUUUAAAAAUGCUACUAGUUUUCAGAAUUUCUCAAAGUUUUAGUAGAGCAAGAAUUUUCAAAAAAUAUGCAUAAAUGAGAAAAGUUUAAUUAUUUGUAAAUUAUCCACUCGCUGAGCUUUAAGCUCAUAUAUUUUUUUCACC